rnacentral:rRNA from 1 species
UACGUAGGGUGCGAGCGUUGUCCGGAAUUAUUGGGCGUAAAGAGCUCGUAGGCGGCUUGUCGCGUCGGAUGUGAAAGCCCGGGGCUUAACUCCGGGUCUGCAUUCGAUACGGGCAGGCUAGAGUUCGGUAGGGGAGAUCGGAAUUCCUGGUGUAGCGGUGGAAAUGACGCAGAUAUCAGGAGGAACACCGGUGGCGAAGGCGGAUCUCUGGGCCGAUACUGACGCUGAGGAGCGAAAGCGUGGGGAGCGAACAGG